AAGACUAUGUUUCAGGGAUCAUUUCUAUAGUUCUUUGUAAGUGUAUUUAGAAAGUGUUUGUCUCCCAACCCAUGACGUGAGCUAUGAUACUCCAUUCUGAGAGUGGGUGAGGACAGAACUCAACUACAUUCACAAGCUCUGUUGUUGAUGGCGUUCAUAUUGUUUUAGCAAUGUUGUUGAAGAAAGGAGUAUGAUCUGAGUCGG
ensembl:snoRNA U3 Small nucleolar RNA U3